AGUAAAGUCAGCUAAUUUCAAGCUUUUGGGCCCAUACCCCAAACAUGUUGGUUAAAAUCCUUCCUCUACUA
rnacentral:tRNA from 1 species